rnacentral:RNase_MRP_RNA from 2 species
CCCUCGCUCAACAAAUCGCUAUUCGAAGCUCACGCACAGAGACACUUGGCCUCGGCCAGCGUCUCGCCAUUGAGGUAUUGCUUUGGGAGAAAGUCCCCGGACGUCUCUCCUCGGAGAGCUUGCGGAAACGCGCCGCCAUAGAAGCACUGCGGCUGACCUUUUGCGUCUUGGCCUUCAUCGUGGACCAUCCGCCCUACUCGUCGCUACGUCCGCGCCUUGCGGGUCUCUACUAGAACCUAGUCGCAUCUCCCGGCCCCUCUGGAUGAAGAUAUGAGUCCGCGUCGGGAUGGUGUGGCUGGGACUUCUGGCAGUAGACCAGCAGGUUUGGAUGGCGGUAGCCGUGGAUGACGCGGAGUGUGGCAUCGGUCGCUGAGGAUUUUUUGUCGAGGUCGAUAGGUAUGCGAUUGCUCGGUUUACCGGGUUACUCGAUGGGGCUUAUUCUUGAGGCGAGG